CCUGAAUCCAACUGGGAAGCAUCCAGCGGACGGUCUUGACGGCUGAGCCGCUGUCGUCCAGAGGCAUGCAGACGUAGCAGAAGGGCCGGUGGGGUUGGGACUCGGAGCGAGAGGCCGGGCGGUCGCUGCGGCCUGAGCCCACACCCAGAGGAGGAGAGCGGCCACUCCAGCCAGGCGCAGGGCCCAUGGAUACUGGGAGGAGGCCCAGCAGAAGACCUCUGGGAAGCCGAAGGUGUUCUGGAACUGGAUGCACUUGUCUGAAUCUCUUCUCACCUGUUCGUGUCCAGGGACGCCUUCGACCACCGGGAAACCAUUGUGGUUGGAGGUCCUGUCGCUGAGGACGUCCACGAUAGUGCCCACUUUCUCGAUCCGUCGCAG